GGUUAAUGAGGCGAACCGGGGGAACUGAAACAUCUAAGUACCCCGAGGAAAAGAAAUCAACCGAGAUUCCCCCAGUAGCGGCGAGCGAACGGGGAGCAGCCCAGAGCCUGAAUCAGUAUGUGUGUUAGUGGAAGCGUCUGGAAAGGCGCGCGAUACAGGGUGACAGCCCCGUACACAAAAAUGCACAUGCUGUGAGCUCGAUGAGUAGGGCGGGACACGUGGUAUCCUGUCUGAAUAUGGGGGGACCAUCCUCCAAGGCUAAAUACUCCUGACUGACCGAUAGUGAACCAGUACCGUGAGGGAAAGGCGAAAAGAACCCCGGCGAGGGGAGUGAAAAAGAACCUGAAACCGUGUACGUACAAGCAGUGGGAGCACGCUUAGGCGUGUGACUGCGUACCUUUUGUAUAAUGGGUCAGCGACUUAUAUUCUGUAGCAAGGUUAACCGAAUAGGGGAGCCGAAGGGAAACCGAGUCUUAACUGGGCGUUAAGUUGCAGGGUAUAGACCCGAAACCCGGUGAUCUAGCCAUGGGCAGGUUGAAGGUUGGGUAACACUAACUGGAGGACCGAACCGACUAAUGUUGAAAAAUUAGCGGAUGACUUGUGGCUGGGGGUGAAAGGCCAAUCAAACCGGGAGAUAGCUGGUUCUCCCCGAAAGCUAUUUAGGUAGCGCCUCGUGAAUUCAUCUCCGGGGGUAGAGCACUGUUUCGGCAAGGGGGUCAUCCCGACUUACCAACCCGAUGCAAACUGCGAAUACCGGAGAAUGUUAUCACGGGAGACACACGGCGGGUGCUAACGUCCGUCGUGAAGAGGGAAACAACCCAGACCGCCAGCUAAGGUCCCAAAGUCAUGGUUAAGUGGGAAACGAUGUGGGAAGGCCCAGACAGCCAGGAUGUUGGCUUAGAAGCAGCCAUCAUUUAAAGAAAGCGUAAUAGCUCACUGGUCGAGUCGGCCUGCGCGGAAGAUGUAACGGGGCUAAACCAUGCACCGAAGCUGCGGCAGCGACGCUGAUGCGUUGUUGGGUAGGGGAGCGUUCUGUAAGCCUGCGAAGGUGUGCUGUGAGGCAUGCUGGAGGUAUCAGAAGUGCGAAUGCUGACAUAAGUAACGAUAAAGCGGGUGAAAAGCCCGCUCGCCGGAAGACCAAGGGUUCCUGUCCAACGUUAAUCGGGGCAGGGUGAGUCGACCCCUAAGGCGAGGCCGAAAGGCGUAGUCGAUGGGAAACAGGUUAAUAUUCCUGUACUUGGUGUUACUGC
rnacentral:rRNA from 1 species